GCAAAGAGACCCCUAGAACAGAUCCAGAAAGCACAGGGAGCAAAAAUGUAAAAUAAAAUUUCCGUCUUUGAUCAUCUCUCUCUAUCCGAUAUUUCCGUCUCGUCUCUUCGGUUUUCUCCUCAUUUUCCUUUCCCGUGUCUCGUAGAGCCUAUGCUUCCUUUAAAACUAAUGUGCUUGCUGAUGAUCAAGACUGUGAAUGUCGUGGAUCGAAUCAAUGUUUUAGCAGAUUUGAAGACAGCCAAGCCUCUCGAACUGCCGCCUUCUCUGAAGUCAGGAAUUGUGUCAUCCUUUACCUUAGGAGUCAGAAAUGGACAAAACUCUGUGGUCAGGAUUUGCAUGGUGCUUCUUCAGAAUGGGCCCUCACUUUCUUACCAGUGGGUGUAAUAUAGUAGGCAUCCAAUAUAGAGAAAUCUUUGCUCAGCACCAACUGGGGUCUUUUGGAUGUUUGGCUUGUCAACAACCCAGGUUCGAGUAGCAUCAUAGUUGGUAUUAGUGGGGUCCUCACAAGAGACAUCCACUUUCUUGUUGCAAAAAAAUGGUUCCUCUGUGACUCUACUUCUGAUCUCCUCAUACUCUUCUUGUGUGCCAAUCAGCCUCCAUUUGAAGCAUGCUCCAAAUCGGACAGCAUAUGCACCAAUUGAGCUGCGGACCAAUGCUGAUUGCUGUUAUGAAAAAUGAAAAGCAGUGCUGGUACAGUUAAAUUUUUAAGAAGCUAGAUUGACACAUAAGAUGGAUGAUGAUCCUUCAAAGAGAAGGAAGGGGGGCUUGGGUGUGAGGUGUCUUUCAACGAUGAACAAAGCUCUUCUUUGCAAGUGGAGUUGGUGUUUUGCCAAUGAAAGAGGGGCACUUUGGAAGCAAGUCAUUAAUCAGAAGUAUGGUGAGGAUAUAGGGGUAGCGAUCUCGUGAGGUGGGAGGAGAUAGGUAUGGGGUUGGCCUUUGGAAAAUCAUAAGAAAGGAGUUGGACAUUUUGAGCAGCAAAAUUUCUUUUUCUAUGGGAAAUGGUCAAAGAGUAAGAUUUUUGAAGGACAAGUGGUGUGGAGCCACUUUGCAUUUCCUUUCCUUCCUUAUUUGCCCUAGCCAUUUCUAAGGAUGCAUGGGUGGCAGAUGUUUGGAACUUUGAAGGCAAAAGGGGUGGUUGGGCUCCUUGCUUCUCUAGGUCGUUUAAUGAUUGGGAGGCGGAAAGAGUGAAACACUUGUUGUUGAAGAUUCAAACAAAAAGGGCGUAUAGGGAUGAAAAAGAUAGGAUGAUUUGGAUGGCUUUGAGGUGUGGGAACUUUUCAGUUAAAUCCCUUUAUUCUACUAUGGAGCCUGGGACCCUUUAUUGUUCCCAUAGAGUAUCAUUUGGAGAUCUUAUGUGUUACUAAGGGUGGUCUUUUUCCUAUGGGUAGCGACAUGGGGGAAAGCCCUAACUUUGGAUCAGGUCCAAAUGAGGUGGUUUUCUUUGGCAAAUAGAUAUUUUCUUUGCCACUUUGAAGAAGAAAUUGUUGAUCACAUUCUUCUUUACUGUGCAAAGACGUGGAUUCUUUGAUAAUUGCUUUUUUCUCUCUUUGGUGUAUCUUAGGUCCUCUCCUUUUUCGGUUAAGGAGGCGCUCCUUGGGUGGUAUGGUCCUUUGUGGGUAAAACUCGUAUAAAGUCUUGGAUGAUGGUCUCUUUAUGUAUCUUUUGAAUGGUGUGGAAGGAAAGGAACAUGUUAGGGUUUGAUAAUGCGGAGUUGUCAUCCAAAGGAUGAAAAAUUCUUUUGUUUAUAAUUUGUGGUCUUAGUCUAGGGUGUCCGUAGAUAUGGGCCCUAGUUCUCUUGUUAGCUUUAUUGACUGGCUAGGCUCUAAGUGAAGGUGGGUGAUGUUUUUUGUUUCUCUCCCUCUCCCACUUGGGUGAACCUUUGGGUAGCUGGUGUAUAGUUCCUAUAUUCUUUGGGACGUUGUUUUGGUGUUUCCUUUUAUAUGUAUAUAUACUCUCUUACCUAUCAAAAAAAGAAGCUAGAUUGACAUGUGAGGCCUUCAAGAUAUUUAUAUCAUGAAAAGGGAUUUUCUAUUCUUAUGAUUCUUUAACUAGUUCUGAUGAGUAUCUUGUUCUGAUAAUAGAUAGUAAAAAAGGGGCGAAAAUAGAAACGGUUGUUUGACUACUUGUUUUUAGAAAACAACAUUGAAGAACAGUUAGAAAACAGUGUUUUCAGUUAACAGCAAAUUAUCUUCUGUUUUCUAUUACGUUUUUUGGGAUUGCAGAAAACCAAGAAUUAAUUAAAGGGAAGCUAAAAGCAGACAAAAUUGAGGGUGAUUAAAGAAAAGCAACCCAAAACCAAGCAAUUUACCAACCUAUAUAUGUUUUCAUGUAAAGUCAAAUGCAAAGACAGAAUCAGAGUUUGAUUUCUAAACAAUUGUUGAUCAAUGGACCCAUGAACUCACUACAACAAGGUCUGGUCAGCAAUUUAUAACUCAAAAACUCAAUUCAACCCCAUUGACCUUCUGCCUCAAGUAUCACAUAUUUCCCCUAUAGUUGUUGAGAGAAUUAAAGACAUGAAUGCAGUGUGUUGUAAUAUAGUGUUUUAUUAGAUGGCUUAUUCAAACAGAGUGUGACAUUAAUCCUUUACUAUUUUUCUCUUUUUGUAUAAUUUAUUUUGCAGGACAAGAAAAAUAAAGAAGGUAGAAUGGAAAUUCUUCCAUGAAGUUCUUCAGUGAUGUUCAAGUUACUGUCUUUACCGACAAAUCAGGCCAGAUGGAACGAGCAAUUCCCAGAAAAAGAGAAUUAUUAUGCUGGCUGACUCAAUACAGACUAUGAGUAGAAGCUUUUACAAAAGAAGAGGAGGAUGUCCUCCAAGAGAAAUGGAAAGGCAAGGCUGGAGCCUCUUGGAUCAGGAUCAAGUUCAACUGCAGAUCUAAGCAUCAAUCUGAAUGGAACUUUCUAGAGGGAAUUCCACUGAAAUACACUCAAGUAGUUGCCCUCUUUCUUCUGUCACAUAGUCCAUCCUAGAAUAAACCAAAAGAAAAGGAAAGAAAAGGAAAACCAUUAGAAAAAUAGUUUAGAGGGUGGAAUUGCCUAAACUGUAGGUUAGUAUGGAGUUUUUCUUUUCUUGCUUUUGUGAAGUUUAAGUUAGAUGCUUUUCUGUGUAUAAAGUUUACCUUAAGCUUACCUUUCUUUUCUUGCUUCUGUGAACUGAUAAGAUGCUUAUCUAUUAACUCAGUUUACUUUAUUUUCUCACUUUUAUUUGUGGGAAAUGCUUUAUUCUUUUAUGAAUGAUGUACUUUAGGAUUUGUAGUGGAAGGAUGUUCAUCUUAAUAAGAGAUAAGAGUUAACUUUUGAUGGGAA